AGAGUUUGAUCCUGGCUCAGGACGAACGCUGGCGGCGUGCUUAACACAUGCAAGUCGAACGGGAGUAUCAAAGAAGCUUGCUUUUAAGAUACUUUAGUGGCGGACGGGUGAGUAACGCGUGAGGAGCUGUCCUAUGCAGGGGGACAACAGUUGGAAACGACUGCUAAUACCCCAUAAGCCGAGAGGUAAAAGGAUUUAUCCGGCAAAGGAGGUACUCGCGUCCUAUCAGCUAGUAGGUGAGGUAACGGCUCACCUAGGCGAAGACGGGUAGCCGGCCUGAGAGGGCGAACGGCCACACUGGAACUGAGAUACGGUCCAGACUCCUACGGGAGGCAGCAGUGGGGAAUAUUGGGCAAUGGGGGCAACCCUGACCCAGCGACGCCGCGUGGGUGAAGAAAUCCUUCGGGAUGUAAAGCCCUGUUGUAUGGGAAGAGCAGAAGACGGUACCAUACGAGGAAGCCCCGGCAAACUACGUGCCAGCAGCCGCGGUAAUACGUAGGGGGCAAGCGUUGUCCGGAAUUACUGGGCGUAAAGCGCACGCAGGCUGAAUUAUAAGUCGGUAGUAAAAGGCGGGGGCUCAACUUCCGUAUAUCUAUCGAUACUGUAAAUCUAGAGUAUGUGAGAGGGAAGCGGAAUUCCCGGUGUAGCGGUGAAAUGCAUAGAUAUCACGCAGAACUCCGAUUGCGAAGGCAGCUUACUAAGCUACAACUGACACUGAAGCACGAAAGCGUGGGGAUCAAACAGGAUUAGAUACCCUGGUAGUCG
rnacentral:rRNA from 1 species